GUCAGCCGCCGCGGUAAUACCGGCGGCUCGAGUGGUGGCCACUUUAUUGGGCUUAAAGCGUUCGUAGCUGGGUUAUUAAGUCCCUUGGGAAAUCCGACAGCUUAACUGUCGGGCGUCUAAGAGAUACUGGUAAUCUUGGAACCGGGAGAGGUGAGGGGGUACUUCGGGGGUAGGAGUGAAAUCCUGUAAUCCUCGAGGGACCACCUGUGGCGAAGGCGCCUCACCAGAACGGCUUCGACAGUGAGGGACGAAAGCUGGGGAGCAAACCGGAUUAGAUACCCGGGUAGUCCCAGCCGUAAACGAUGUGCGUUAGGUGUAUCGGUGACCACGAGUCACCGAGGUGCCGAAGGGAAACCGUGAAACGUACCGCCUGGGAAGUACGGUCGCAAGGCUGAAACUUAAAGGAAUUGGCGGGGGAGCACCACAACAGGUGGAGCCUGCGGUUUUAAAUUGGACUCAACGCCGGAAAUCUCACCGGAUAAGACAGCAGAAUGAUUGCCGGGCUGAAGACUCUGCAUGACUAGCUGAGUAGAGGUGCAUGG
rnacentral:rRNA from 1 species